rnacentral:rRNA from 1 species
UAAUACUAGCGGUCCAAGUCGUAGCCAUUUUUAUUGGGUCUAAAACAUCCGUAGCUUGCUUGAUAAGUUUCUUGUGAAAUCCUGCUUCUCAAGAGCAGGGCGAGCAGGAAAUACUACCAAGCUAGAGACUGGAAGACGUAAGGAGUAUGGUUAAAGUAGCGGUAAAAUGUUUUAAUCUUAACCAGACUAACAAUAGCGAAGGCACCUUACGAGGACAGUUCUGACAGUAAGGGAUGAAGGCUAGGGGCGCAAAACGGAUUAGAUACCCGUGUAGUCCUAGCAGUAAACACUGCACACUAAACAUUAGUAUCUCCUCGAGAGAUAUUAGUGCUGAAGGGAAGCCAAGGAGUGUGCUACCUGGGAAGUAUAGUCGCAAGGCCG